CCGCUAUCCAAAUACGACAAAACUUUUCCUUUAAAGAGAGGAAAGUUCUAAACUACCUCAAAAAAGAACCCUCCAUCGUAAUUAAAACAGCGGACAAGGGUGGAGGGGUAGUUAUUUUAAAUAAAGAGGCAUACAUUAAAUCAGAAAACAGCUACAAGAUGUAAAAACUCAAUCAAAAUCCUACCACAUAAAUAAAAACUAAAUACGAACUAUAUUUACAAGGAGGAUUAAAUAAUAGUGUGUUAAAUAAAAAUGAAUACUCGUUUUAAAUGAACAUCCUAAAAUACCAGUCAUCUAUGUCCUGCCAAAAAAUUCAUAAAAAUCUAGAAAAUCCUCCUGGCAGGCCAAUUGUCUAUGGCAUAGAUUCAAUUCUAUCUUUACUGUCACAAUUUUUUUACUAUUUUUUACAACCCCUAUUGAAAUCCAUGGCUUCAAAAUAUCCCCAAAGGUCAGUUUUUACAUCUUAAAAGAAAUUGUUCAAAUCAGACAUAGUUUUAUUAGUCGGUCAUCUUUUUUAAAACAAUAAUUUUAGAAAAAGUUUAUAAA